GAUGAACGCUGGCGGCGUGCCUAAUACAUGCAAGUCGAGCGAACGGACGAGAAGCUUGCUUUUCUGAUGUUAGCGGCGGACGGGUGAGUAACACGUGGAUAACCUACCUAUAAGACUGGGAUAACUUCGGGAAACCGGAGCUAAUACCGGAUAAUAUUUUGAACCGCAUGGUUCAAAAGUGAAAGACGGUCUUGCUGUCACUUAUAGAUGGAUCCGCGCUGCAUUAGCUAGUUGGUAAGGUAACGGCUUACCAAGGCAACGAUGCAUAUCCGACCUGAGAGGGUGAUCGGCCACACUGGAACUGAGACACGGUCCAGACUCCUACGGGAGGCAGCAGUAGGGAAUCUUCCGCAAUGGGCGAAAGCCUGACGGAGCAACGCCGCGUGAGUGAUGAAGGUCUUCGGAUCGUAAAACUCUGUUAUUAGGGAAGAACAUAUGUGUAAGUAACUGUGCACAUCUUGACGGUACCUAAUCAGAAAGCCACGGCUAACUACGUGCCAGCAGCCGCGGUAAUACGUAGGUGGCAAGCGUUAUCCGGAAUUAUUGGGCGUAAAGCGCGCGUAGGCGGUUUUUUAAGUCUGAUGUGAAAGCCCACGGCUCAACCGUGGAGGGUCAUUGGAAACUGGAAAACUUGAGUGCAGAAGAGGAAAGUGGAAUUCCAUGUGUAGCGGUGAAAUGCGCAGAGAUAUGGAGGAACACCAGUGGCGAAGGCGACUUUCUGGUCUGUAACUGACGCUGAUGUGCGAAAGCGUGGGGAUCAAACAGGAUUAGAUACCCUGGUAGUCCACGCCGUAAACGAUGAGUGCUAAGUGUUAGGGGGUUUCCGCCCCUUAGUGCUGCAGCUAACGCAUUAAGCACUCCGCCUGGGGAGUACGACCGCAAGGUUGAAACUCAAAGGAAUUGACGGGGACCCGCACAAGCGGUGGAGCAUGUGGUUUAAUUCGAAGCAACGCGAAGAACCUUACCAAAUCUUGACAUCCUUUGACAACUCUAGAGAUAGAGCCUUCCCCUUCGGGGGACAAAGUGACAGGUGGUGCAUGGUUGUCGUCAGCUCGUGUCGUGAGAUGUUGGGUUAAGUCCCGCAACGAGCGCAACCCUUAAGCUUAGUUGCCAUCAUUAAGUUGGGCACUCUAAGUUGACUGCCGGUGACAAACCGGAGGAAGGUGGGGAUGACGUCAAAUCAUCAUGCCCCUUAUGAUUUGGGCUACACACGUGCUACAAUGGACAAUACAAAGGGCAGCGAAACCGCGAGGUCAAGCAAAUCCCAUAAAGUUGUUCUCAGUUCGGAUUGUAGUCUGCAACUCGACUACAUGAAGCUGGAAUCGCUAGUAAUCGUAGAUCAGCAUGCUACGGUGAAUACGUUCCCGGGUCU
rnacentral:rRNA from 1 species